GGGGGCUGUAGCACUGGCCACAGUGCUCUUCAGUACACCCUAGCUGAAUGCUCCAUAAAGUCGCACUGAUGGCAGUUUGGAGAUGGCCAUCUGUCGUCAACUCUGGGCCAGACAAAAAAAUAAUGUAACGGCAGAUCGCUAACAACAGGGCUGUUGUAGGAGGGAAUGAGUCCUCGAACGGGGAGGUGGUGCUCCAUCUUUUAAUAGCGAAAACCAGCCAUCGAUAUGAACAUCAAGAAAUUAAUGGAUGGAGAAUUUUAAAAAACUGAGCUGGGGUGCCGUAGAAUCCACUCAAAGAAAUAGGACCAUAAAACUGGAGCAACAAUUAAGCUGUGGUGUGAAAAACAGGCGUUGGAAUCAGGUUGCUUUGGUGGGAAAGUGAUUUGAGAAGAUCAAACAGCUGUAGAGACAAUUACGUAUUUAAACUUUAAUGAUAUCUCGAAGUCGUGGUGUAUCCCUCGGAAUGUCCAAUCACUGCUGUGUUUUGUAUGCGGAAAAUACUGCAUCCAUGAAUUAAUGAAAGGAAGGGCAAGGACCACAAUAAUCUUUGACUCAAAAGGAAGUGAAAUACCAGAAUCUCAAAGCCUCCCUCUCAUCUAGGCCAAUUCCCUCCCUUCCCACCGCUGGAAUUCCCUCUACGUCCAUUAAAUUCACAACACGAUGCCUCAGAGAACUUUCUAUGGGGACACAUUGGAAGAGGAUGAUUUGAUCACUGCCAUUGAAUUGUAGUUUUUCUAGAGGCACUAAUUAAACAGUAAUUACUGUAUUGAAAGAAAGUGGCCUAUUCAACGGAAUUUUUACGCCACUCGCUCACACCUGUAUAAACCACUUUGGAUACAAAUAUGCAUUGUAGGAUAUUAUUCUUGGACCAUACUAUCCUUUUUUGCAAAGCAGCUUCCUUAAGUUCCACAGGAAGAAAAAAAAAAAAAAGUUUUGAGGUCUACUAGGAAAACAUGUGAAACAUUCAACAUAUUCAUUUGCUUUUAAAAUAACAAAAUGUUCAUUUAGUUCCAAUAAGGCACUCCUAUGCCAAAGCACCUCUUCCCUACCAGCAUGCUAGGUGGCCUCUGACGUAUAUUAGAAUUCCUGGCAAGAACCCUACCAGGAUUUUUACAUUAUACAUUGCUGGUCUGGCAUCAAGAACUUCUGGUCAGAAAGGUUUAGGGGUCAUAUGAAAACCUUAGCUUCCACAGUGUUAAGUCCUAGACUGAGUGUUCCACAGAACCAAGUUUCAUCUUGCUUAAUUCUAAAAGGAAUUGUGGUGGGACUUCCCAUGUAAGAAUCCAAAUGCCGCUGCUUAAGAUGCUGGGGAGACAAGGGUUGGAUCCCCGGCUGGCACAGUGGGUUGAAGUAGCUGGCACUGCUGCAGCUGUGGUGGUGUAGGUCACAGCUGUGGCUUGCAUUCAAUCCCUGACCCAGGAACUCAUGGUGUGGGUGCUGAAGGUGUGGCUGAAAAAUUUUUUAAAAUAAAAUCAAUCAAUCAAUCA
rnacentral:lncRNA from 1 species